AUGCAGUCGAACGGUGAAGCAGAGCUUGCUCUGUGGAUCAGUGGCGAACGGGNGAGUAACACGUGAGCAAUCUGCCCCUGACUCUGGGAUAAGCGCUGGAAACGGCGUCUAAUACCGGAUACGAGCUGCGAAGGCAUCUUCAGCAGCUGGAAAGAAUUUCGGUCAGGGAUGAGCUCGCGGCCUAUCAGCUUGUUGGUGAGGUAACGGCUCACCAAGGCGUCGACGGGUAGCCGGCCUGAGAGGGUGACCGGCCACACUGGGACUGAGACACGGCCCAGACUCCUACGGGAGGCAGCAGUGGGGAAUAUUGCACAAUGGGCGAAAGCCUGAUGCAGCAACGCCGCGUGAGGNACGACGGCCUUCGGGUUGUAAACCUCUUUUAGCAGGAAAAGAAGCGAAAGUGACGGUACCCUGCAGAAAAUCAACCUCGGGCCUGCAGUNGGUACCGGGCAGACUAGAGUGCGGUAGGGGAGAUUGGAAUUCCUGGUGUAGCGGUGGAAUGCGCAGAUAUCAGGAGGAACACCGAUGGCGAAGGCAGAUCUNUGGGCCGUAACUGACGCUGAGGAGCGAAAAGGGGUGGGGAGCAAACAGGCUUAGAUACCCUGGUAGUCCACCCCGUAAACGUUGGGAACUAGUUGUGGGGUCCAUUCCACGGAUUCCGUGACGCAGCUAACGCAUUAAGUUCCCCGCCUGGGGAGUACGGCCGCAAGGCUAAAACUCAAAGGAAUUGACGGGGACCCGCACAAGCGGCGGAGCAUGCGGAUUAAUUCGAUGCAACGCGAAGAACCUUACCAAGGCUUGACAUAUACGAGAACGCUGCAGAAAUGUAGAACUCUUUGGACACUCGUAAACAGGUGGUGCAUGGUUGUCGUCAGCUCGUGUCGUGAGAUGUUGGGUUAAGUCCCGCAACGAGCGCAACCCUCGUUCUAUGUUGCCAGCACGUAAUGGUGGGAACUCAUGGGAUACUGCCGGGGUCAACUCGGAGGAAGGUGGGGAUGACGUCAAAUCAUCAUGCCCCUUAUGUCUUGGGCUUCACGCAUGCUACAAUGGCCGGUACAAAGGGCUGCAAUACCGCGAGGUGGAGCGAAUCCCAAAAAGCCGGUCCCAGUUCGGAUUGAGGUCUGCAACUCGACCUCAUGAAGUCGGAGUCGCUAGUAAUCGCAGAUCAGCAACGCUGCGGUGAAUACGUUCCCGGGUCUUGUACACACCGCCCGUCAAGUCAUGAAAGUCGGUAACACCUGAAGCCGGUGGCCCAACCCUUGUGGAGG
rnacentral:rRNA from 1 species